ACGAACGCUGGCGGCAUGCCUAACACAUGCAAGUCGAACGAGACCUUCGGGUCUAGUGGCGCACGGGUGCGUAACGCGUGGGAACCUGCCCUUAGGUUCGGAAUAACUCCCCGAAAGGGGUGCUAAUACCGGAUAAUGUCUUCGGACCAAAGAUUGAUCGCCUUUGGAUGGGCCCGCGUUGGAUUAGCUAGUUGGUAGGGUAAAAGCCUACCAAGGCGACGAUCCAUAGCUGGUCUGAGAGGAUGAUCAGCCACACUGGGACUGAGACACGGCCCAGACUCCUACGGGAGGCAGCAGGGGGGAAUAUUGGACAAUGGGCGAAAGCCUGAUCCAGCAAUGCCGCGUGAGUGAUGAAGGCCUUAGGGUUGUAAAGCUCUUUUACCCGGGAUGAUAAUGACAGUACCGGGAGAAUAAGCUCCGGCUAACUCCGU
rnacentral:rRNA from 1 species